UUAUGGUCAAUUUUGCAGGUUAUUGUACAGAAUAUAGCAAAACUGCAAAUCUUAUUCAACAAAGUGUAAAUACAAAGUGUUUACAUCACAAACAUAAUCCAUGUCCAAUGAGCUACAACUCGACUGAGGCAUACAAGUACCAAUCUUGUUACGAAUUAGAAAGAAGUUCAACAGUAAGCAAUCAAUUACCUAAAGGUACCACCACAUGUUCAUCAGCCAGGAAUAAAUCCUCGAAGCAACAAUCAGGAAACAACCAAGCCCUAGCUAUAUGUAUUGUAGUUACCACCAUCUUGCGGAUGUUCUUCUUAUAAUUGUACGGUUACGUAGCAUUUAUACAUCAAGAAGUGUGUUCAACGACAUUGAAGUAUUGAUGUUGUUUAUACGGACAAAAUACCUUUAGACGAAGUGUUCAAUCUAUUUAUUUCGCCCUAAUAAAAUGGCAAAAAGCUUCAUUUUAAUUCAUGUUAUUUUUCACACUGUUUAUUUCAAGUUCUUUUAAUAUUGAUCAAAGAGCAGGUAACUCUAGAGUUAGAAGUAGAAUAACAUAACAACAUGAGAACUUGAUAGUGAAAUUCAUAGAGGGCUUUUAAUCAUUUAAAAAAACAUCCAUAAGAUUGCAAAGUUUAGCACUUUGGUAUCCACUUGAAAAUGAAAGAUAAAUAUAAGUUUUUUUUUAUUUGUCCAUUUCAAAGCGGAAAUGUUUUUCAUUUGAACUUAACAAUUCUGAAUGUUUUUAACACUA